rnacentral:rRNA from 1 species
UACGUAGGGUGCGAGCGUUGUCCGGAAUUAUUGGGCGUAAAGAGCUUGUAGGCGGUUUGUCGCGUCUGCUGUGAAAAUCCGGGGCUCAACCCCGGACUUGCAGUGGGUACGGGCAGACUAGAGUGUGGUGGGGAGACUGGAAUUCCUGGUGUAGCGGUGAAAUGCGCAGAUAUCAGGAGGAACACCGAUGGCGAAGGCAGGUCUCGUGGGCCACUACUGACGCUGAGAAGCGAAAGCAUGGGGAGCGAACAGGA